GAACGCUGGCGGCGUGCCUAAUACAUGCACGUCGAGCGAACAGACGAGGAGCUUGCUCCUCUGACGUUAGCGGCGGACGGGUGAGUAACACGUGGAUAACCUACCUAUAAGACUGGGAUAACUUCGGGAAACCGGAGCUAAUACCGGAUAAUAUAUUGAACCGCAUGGUUCAAUAGUGAAAGACGGUUUUGCUGUCACUUAUAGAUGGAUCCGCGCCGCAUUAGCUAGUUGGUAAGGUAACGGCUUACCAAGGCAACGAUGCGUAGCCGACCUGAGAGGGUGAUCGGCCACACUGGAACUGAGACACGGUCCAGACUCCUACGGGAGGCAGCAGUAGGGAAUCUUCCGCAAUGGGCGAAAGCCUGACGGAGCAACGCCGCGUGAGUGAUGAAGGUCUUCGGAUCGUAAAACUCUGUUAUUAGGGAAGAACAAAUGUGUAAGUAACUAUGCACGUCUUGACGGUACCUAAUCAGAAAGCCACGGCUAACUACGUG
rnacentral:rRNA from 1 species